rnacentral:rRNA from 1 species
GGUCCCGCCUGCCCAGUGAUAUUUUUAAACGGCCGCGGUAUCCUAACCGUGCAAAGGUAGCAUAAUCACUUGUCCCCUAAAUAGGGACUAGUAUGAACGGCUAAAUGAGGACUUUGCUGUCUCUUUCCGCCAGUCAAUGAAACUGAUCUCCCAGUCCAAAAGCUGGGAUAACAACAUAAGACAAAAAGACCCUGUGGAGCUUAAAACCAAAACCACCAAAAUGUCCACUUGGUUUUCAGUUGGGGCGACUUCGGAACAAAGACAAACCUCCGAAAAUAAUGGAACCCUCCAUAUCAAGACCUACACGCCAAAAUAAUCUUAAACUUGACCCAGACCCCUUCAGUCUGACCAAUGAACCAAGUUACCCCAGGGAUAACAGCGCCAUCUUCUUUUAGAGUCCAUAUCAACAAGAAG